UACGUAGGGUGCAAGCGUUGUCCGGAAUUAUUGGGCGUAAAGAGCUCGUAGGCGGUCUGUCGCGUCUGCUGUGAAAACUCGGGGCUUAACCCCGGGCCUGCAGUGGGUACGGGCAGACUAGAGUGCGGUAGGGGAGACUGGAAUUCCUGGUGUAGCGGUGAAAUGCGCAGAUAUCAGGAGGAACACCGGUGGCAAAGGCGGGUCUCUGGGCCGUAACUGACGCUGAGGAGCGAAAGCAUGGGGAGCGAACAGG
rnacentral:rRNA from 1 species